CAAGUGGGGGAAUAUUGCACAAUGGGCGCAAGCCUGAUGCAGCCAUGCCGCGUGUAUGAAGAAGGCCUUCGGGUUGUAAAGUACUUUCAGCAGUGAGGAAGGUGGGUAUGUUAAUAGCAUAUUCAUUUGACGUUAGCUGCAGAAGAAGCACCGGCUAACUCCGUGCCAGCAGCCGCGGUAAUACGGAGGGUGCGAGCGUUAAUCGGAAUUACUGGGCGUAAAAGCGCAUGCAGGUGGUUUGUUAAGUCAGAUGUGAAAAGCCCGGGGCUCAACCUCGGAAUUGCAUUUGAAACUGGCAAACUAGAGUACUGUAGAGGGGGUAGAAUUUCAGGUGUAGCGGUGAAAAUGCGUAGAGAUCUGAAGGAAUACCGGUGGCGAAGGCGGCCCCCUGGACAGAUACUGACACUCAGAUGCGAAAGCGUGGGGAGCAAACAGGAUUAGAUACCCUGGUAG
rnacentral:rRNA from 1 species